UAGCUCAGUUGGUAGAGCAGAGGACUGAAAAUCCUCGUGUCACCAGUUUAAAUCUGGU
rnacentral:tRNA from 1 species